rnacentral:rRNA from 1 species
UGGGGAAUAUUGCACAAUGGGCGCAAGCCUGAUGCAGCCAUGCCGCGUGUAUGAAGAAGGCCUUCGGGUUGUAAAGUACUUUCAGCGGGGAGGAAGGCGAUGUGGUUAAUAACCGCGUCGAUUGACGUUACCCGCAGAAGAAGCACCGGCUAACUCCGUGCCAGCAGCCGCGGUAAUACGGAGGGAGCAAGCGUUAAUCGGAAUUACUGGGCGUAAAGCGCACGCAGGCGGUCUGUCAAGUCGGAUGUGAAAUCCCCGGGCUCAACCUGGGAACUGCAUCCGAAACUGGCAGGCUUGAGUCUCGUAGAGGGGGGUAGAAUUCCAGGUGUAGCGGUGAAAUGCGUAGAGAUCUGGAGGAAUACCGGUGGCGAAGGCGGCCCCCUGGACGAAGACUGACGCUCAGGUGCGAAAGCGUGGGGAGCAAACA